UACGGAGGGAGCUAGCGUUAUUCGGAAUUACUGGGCGUAAAGCGCACGUAGGCGGCUUUGUAAGUUAGAGGUGAAAGCCUGGAGCUCAACUCCAGAAUUGCCUUUAAGACUGCAUCGCUUGAAUCCAGGAGAGGUGAGUGGAAUUCCGAGUGUAGAGGUGAAAUUCGUAGAUAUUCGGAAGAACACCAGUGGCGAAGGCGGCUCACUGGACUGGUAUUGACGCUGAGGUGCGAAAAGCGUGGGGAGCAAACAGGA
rnacentral:rRNA from 1 species